rnacentral:rRNA from 1 species
UACAGAGGUCUCAAGCGUUGUUCGGAUUCAUUGGGCGUAAAGGGUGCGUAGGCGGCGCGGUAAGUCGGGUGUGAAAUCUUGGAGCUUAACUCCGAAACUGCAUUCGAUACUGCCGUGCUUGAGGACUGGAGAGGAGACUGGAAUUUACGGUGUAGCGGUGAAAUGCGUAGAUAUCGUAAGGAAGACCAGUGGCGAAGGCGGGUCUCUGGACAGUUCCUGACGCUGAGGCACGAAGGCCAGGUGAGCAAACGGG